UUGAUCCUGGCUCAGAACGAACGCUGGCGGCGUGGAUUAGGCAUGCAAGUCGAACGAGAAGGUCUUCCUUCAAGUUUUCGGACGAGAAGGUUGACUGGAAAGUGGCGAAAGGGUGAGUAACGCGUGGGUAAUCUGCCUCCUAGUCGGGGAUAGCCUCGCGAAAGCGUGGUUAAUACCGGAUAUGGUCCCCCGGUGCCUACCGGGGUAUCCAAAGGUGGGGACCUUCGGGCCUACCGCUUGGAGAUGAGCCCGCGUCCCAUCAGCUUGUUGGUAGGGUAACGGCCUACCAAGGCUUACGGGUAGCUGGUCUGAGAGGAUGGUCAGCCACACUGGGACUGAGACACUGCCCAGACUCCUACGGGAGGCUGCAGUCGAGAAUCAUUCGCAAUGCGCGAAAGCGUGACGAUGCGACGCCGCGUGCAGGAUGAAGGCCUUAGGGUCGUAAACUGCUGUCAUGGGGGAGUAACGGCUGCGGUGCGAACAGCACCGCGGUGUGAUAGUACCCCAAGAGGAAGCCACGGCUAACUCUGUGCCAGCAGCCGCGGUAAUACAGAGGUGGCGAGCGUUGUUCGGAUUUACUGGGCGUAAAGGGUGCGCAGGCGGCUCCGUGUGUCAGAUGUGAAAUCUCACCGUCCAUCGGUGAACGUGCAUUUGAAACUGCGGGGCUAGAGUACGGGAGAGGAGAGCGGAAUUCUCGGUGUAGCGGUGAAAUGCGUAGAUAUCGAGAAGAACGCCGGUGGCGAAGGCGGCUCUCUGGAACGCUACUGACGCUGAGGCACGAAAGCUGGGGGAGCAAACAGGAUUAGAUACCCUGGUAGUCCCAGCCGUAAACGUUGUGCACUUGGUGUGGGAAGGUUUGUCCCUUUCCGUGCCGGAGUUAACGCGUUAAGUGCACCGCCUGGGGAAUACGGCCGCAAGGCUAAAACUCAAAGGAAUUGACGGGGGCCCGCACCAGCGGUGGAGCAUGUGGCUUAAUUCGAUGCAACGCGAAGAACCUUACCAGGGUUUGACAUGGAGACCCUUCGGGGGUGGGUGCGAAAGCACCCUUUACUCACACAGGUGCUGCAUGGCUGUCGUCAGCUCGUGCCGUAAGGUGUUGGGUUAAGUCCCGCAACGAGCGCAACCCUUGUGGUUAGUUGCCAGUAUCCUUCGGGAUACGCACUCUAGCCAGACUGCCCGUGAUAAGCGGGAGGAAGGUGGGGAUGACGUCAAGUCAGUAUGGUCCUUAUGCCCUGGGCUGCACACGUGCUACAAUGGGCGGUACAGAGGGAAGCGAUACCGCGAGGUAAAGCUAAUCCUUAAAACCGUCCUCAGUUCGGAUCGGAGUCUGCAACUCGACUCCGUGAAGUUGGAAUCGCUAGUAAAGGCGUAUCAGCUAUGACGCCUUGAAUACGUUCCCGGGCCUUGUACACACCGCCCGUCACAUCACGAAAGCCGAUUGCACCCGAAGUCGCCGGCCUAACCCGUUAGGGAUGGAGGCGCCGAAGGUGUGGUUGGUGAUUGGGAUGAAG
rnacentral:rRNA from 1 species